UUACGCGCCGCGGCGACGACGCGACGUUCACCCCCGCGAUUUACACCCCCGCCCGCACGCUGAUCAGACACUCGCACACACACGCGACCACGUUUAACCGCUCGCGUGCGGUGAGUUGUAGGCGGUACAUACGCGUUAUUGUUUUAGUAAUCGUUUAGGAAAUAGUUUUAUCAACUACGUAUAAGUCGCCAUCACCGCAUAACACAGAUAAAUAUUAAGUUUUUUAUUUUUUCGUCUUCACCGCAGUAAGAGUGAAUAUAAUACAAUAUCUCUCGUGUGAGUCGUAUGGAGUAUUAUGUUAUAUUUUAGCUAUUAUCACGAAUCAUCGCGCAUCGAUUACAACAUUUUGCGUUCGGUUUACGGAAAAUUCAUGAAUACACUGUGUAACGAACUGCCAACUGGAUACUACUUCGCUAAAAAUACGCAAAUGAUUUGUGAUUUAUGCUUUGCGUCCCGAAUAUAUUAUUUAAUAUUAUUCACAUUAUCUUGAUAAAUCAACGCGCGGCCAACUGUACAUGACCGAAGAGGACAGAGACAACAGCGGAAAGAGAGAAAAAUUAAUAAAUUAAAAAAAAAAAAAACAAAAAACGGUUUUCGGUAAUUUACCGUACCUGCGUGGCGAGACCACACGCGACAUGGCUUGACAGCGUCUUGAAGUUUACGAUGAUGCCGGUGAACAACGGGAUCGAACAAUACAUAGAGAAGACUUAAAUAAUGCUAUAAUUUAAAAAAUGCAUGGACAUUCGUCGCAUGGAAUCCUAUUGUUUUUGGAAUAAGUUUAAAGACAAAGUGGUAAUAAAUCUCACAAAAACUAUACCGCAGACAUUUAAAGAGAUCCAAAGUUCAUUAUGGUUCUACGGAAGCCAAACUGUCUGAAUUAGAUAUUGAAAAUAAUUUGAUGUCGGAUGUCGACAAGCAAAUUGGAUGUCAACGAAUUGACUUGACGGACAAUCGGUAUGACACAGUAGAAUUUCAUAUUUUCGUGUCAUCUAAAAAGACUACAA